AUCAGUGUGUGUGUUAGUGGAAGCGUCUGGAAAGGCGCGCGAUACAGGGUGACAGCCCCGUACACAAAAAUGCACAUGCUGUGAGCUCGAUGAGUAGGGCGGGACACGUGGUAUCCUGUCUGAAUAUGGGGGGACCAUCCUCCAAGGCUAAAUACUCCUGACUGACCGAUAGUGAACCAGUACCGUGAGGGAAAGGCGAAAAGAACCCCGGCGAGGGGAGUGAAAAAGAACCUGAAACCGUGUACGUACAAGCAGUGGGAGCACGCUUCGGCGUGUGACUGCGUACCUUUUGUAUAAUGGGUCAGCGACUUAUAUUCUGUAGCAAGGUUAACCGAAUAGGGGAGCCGAAGGGAAACCGAGUCUUAACUGGGCGUUAAGUUGCAGGGUAUAGACCCGAAACCCGGUGAUCUAGCCAUGGGCAGGUUGAAGGUUGGGUAACACUAACUGGAGGACCGAACCGACUAAUGUUGAAAAAUUAGCGGAUGACUUGUGGCUGGGGGUGAAAGGCCAAUCAAACCGGGAGAUAGCUGGUUCUCCCCGAAAGCUAUUUAGGUAGCGCCUCGUGAAUUCAUCUCCGGGGGUAGAGCACUGUUUCGGCAAGGGGGUCAUCCCGACUUACCAACCCGAUGCAAACUGCGAAUACCGGAGAAUGUUAUCACGGGAGACACACGGCGGGUGCUAACGUCCGUCGUGAAGAGGGAAACAACCCAGACCGCCAGCUAAGGUCCCAAAGUCAUGGUUAAGUGGGAAACGAUGUGGGAAGGCCCAGACAGCCAGGAUGUUGGCUUAGAAGCAGCCAUCAUUUAAAGAAAGCGUAAUAGCUCACUGGUCGAGUCGGCCUGCGCGGAAGAUGUAACGGGGCUAAACCAUGCACCGAAGCUGCGGCAGCGACACUAUGUGUUGUUGGGUAGGGGAGCGUUCUGUAAGCCUGUGAAGGUGUACUGUGAGGUAUGCUGGAGGUAUCAGAAGUGCGAAUGCUGACAUAAGUAACGAUAAAGCGGGUGAAAAGCCCGCUCGCCGGAAGACCAAGGGUUCCUGUCCAACGUUAAUCGGGGCAGGGUGAGUCGACCCCUAAGGCGAGGCCGAAAGGCGUAGUCGAUGGGAAACAGGUUAAUAUUCCUGUACUUGGUGUUACUGCGAAGGGGGGACGGAGAAGGCUAUGUUGGCCGGGCGACGGUUGUCCCGGUUUAAGCGUGUAGGCUGGUUUUCCAGGCAAAUCCGGAAAAUCAAGGCUGAGGCGUGAUGACGAGGCACUACGGUGCUGAAGCAACAAAUGCCCUGCUUCCAGGAAAAGCCUCUAAGCAUCAGGUAACAUCAAAUCGUACCCCAAACCGACACAGGUGGUCAGGUAGAGAAUACCAAGGCGCUUGAGAGAACUCGGGUGAAGGAACUAGGCAAAAUGGUGCCGUAACUUCGGGAGAAGGCACGCUGAUAUGUAGGUGAAGCGACUUGCUCGUGGAGCUGAAAUCAGUCGAAGAUACCAGCUGGCUGCAACUGUUUAUUAAAAACACAGCACUGUGCAAACACGAAAGUGGACGUAUACGGUGUGACGCCUGCCCGGUGCCGGAAGGUUAAUUGAUGGGGU
rnacentral:rRNA from 1 species